UAUAUAUGUAGUUUAAAAAAAAACAUGGCAGUUUCAUUGCAAAAUUAGGUUUAACCUCUUAUAU
rnacentral:tRNA from 1 species